AUGGAGCCAUUGGGCCAUUUAUGGACAACCUUUGCUGGAGCAGUGGACUGGAAAACUGGAUCCCAUAGAACCCAAGUGGCACUGAGGUUCUUCUACCAGCAGGAUGGUGUGUGGCUGCAGAUAAAAAAAGAUAAACCACUUUCCCUUAUAAAGGAAAGGUGGGGCAUUUUGCACUUAUCCCAUCACUUCAUUGGGUUUUAUUCUGCCAGCCAGCCCUGACAAGACUGCGAUGGAUGUCUGCCUGCAUUUGAGUGCAAUGCAGUUUCCUUGAGUACCCAGUUGGUGGCAGAUUUGGAGUAUAUAAAAUCCAUCCUUUCAACCUGUUUUGCAAUGGAACCAAAUUUUUCUAGAUGGGCUAAAGAUGAAAUUGUUACUCUUUCAUUCCUCUGACAACAUUUAAAUGGCUUCCAUUUAAAAUGGUAAAUCUCUGCUUUCCAGUAUAAUUAGUCUCUAAAUCCAAGUUAUCUUCUAUCUGCUUUUCUUAUUCAAUUUCUGCUAAAUCAAACUUUAUUGACUAGACUUGUUGGGGAAGGGCUAUUUUUGACUUUGUUUGAAGUAACUAAUUAAGUGUUAUUGAUUUAAAGCAUCUGUGUGUGGAUUUAAUUCCUGUGUCUGCUGUAUGAUGCAAAAUAUCCACAGUAUUUAUUAAGGUUUCAAUAGAAUUUGAUGGGGUACCAGCAUAUUAACUAACAUGGGGCUUUCAGAGGGAGGGUGGGCACAGAGGAUGCCUAUGAUAGCUUGAUUUCUCACUUUCAUACAUGCCAAGGAACUUCUUGGGUUUAGUUCUUUCUUCAAACCCAGCAGCUAAGCUGUGACUACUGUACAAAUUUUCCUGGAUGACAAAUACAGGGUGAAUAUUUUGAGGCUCUUUGGGUUUGUGCAGUGUUCCCUGGUUUUUGCUCCUGUGGGCAUCCCAGCAGUACCACUGGAGGUUUUGUUGUGCUGGUACUCACCAUGGCUUUUGAAGUCUUUUCCUGAGUCUGUGCUUCCCAUGAUAGAUUCUCCAUUCCUGUAAGUGUAGUCCACCAUCACAGAAAAUUAAAUCAUCUGCCUCUGAAAAAGUCACUUCAUUAUCCUUCCUUGAAAAACAAGAAAAUCCUCAAAACCAGGGAGCCUGCCAAAGUGCAAAAUGCAUCUACAAUGUACUACCCAAAUCAAAAUGCAUGGAGUAAAAAUAAACAUGGUAAAUUAAGCUUUAAUCCCA
rnacentral:lncRNA from 1 species